rnacentral:rRNA from 1 species
GAUGAACGCUGGCGGCGUGCUUAACACAUGCAAGUCGAACGAUGAAGCCCAGCUUGCUGGGUGGAUUAGUGGCGAACGGGUGAGUAACACGUGAGUAACCUGUCCUUAACUCUGGGAUAAGCCUGGGAAACUGGGUCUAAUACCGGAUAGGAGCGUCCACCGCAUGGUGGGUGUUGGAAAGAUUUAUCGGUUUUGGAUGGACUCGCGGCCUAUCAGCUUGUUGGUGAGGUAAUGGCUCACCAAGGCGACGACGGGUAGCCGGCCUGAGAGGGUGACCGGCCACACUGGGACUGAGACACGGCCCAGACUCCUACGGGAGGCAGCAGUGGGGAAUAUUGCACAAUGGGCGGAAGCCUGAUGCAGCGACGCCGCGUGAGGGAUGACGGCCUUCGGGUUGUAAACCUCUUUCAGUAGGGAAGAAGCGAAAGUGACGGUACCUGCAGAAGAAGCACCGGCUAACUACGUG